UUGAUCCUGCCAGUAGUCAUAUGCUUGUCUCAAAGAUUAAGCCAUGCAUGUCUCAGUACAAGCCACAUUAAGGUGAAACCGCGAAAGGCUCAUUAAAUCAGUUAUGGUUCCUUAGAUCGUACCCACAUUUACUUGGAUAACUGUGGUAAUUCUAGAGCUAAUACAUGCAAACAGAGUUCCGACCGGAGACGGGAGGAAUGCUUUUAUUAGAUCAAAACCAAUCGGCGGCGGUUGCGUUCGCGCUGCCGUUCGCCGCUCAACCUGGUGACUCUGAAUAACUUUCGGCUGAUCGCACGGUCUAGCACCGGCGACGCAUCUUUCAAAUGUCUGCCUUAUCAACUGUCGAUGGUAGGUUCUGCGCCUACCAUGGUCGUAACGGGUAACGGGGAAUCAGGGUUCGAUUCCGGAGAGGGAGCCUGAGAAACGGCUACCACAUCCAAGGAAGGCAGCAGGCGCGCAAAUUACCCACUCCCGGCACGG
rnacentral:rRNA from 1 species